GACGAACGCUGGCGGCGUGCUUAACACAUGCAAGUCGAGCGGUAAGGCCCUUCGGGUACACGAGCGGCGAACGGGUGAGUAACACGCGGGUGACCUGCCUCUAGCUCUGGGAUAAGCCUGGGAAACUGGGUCUAAUACCGGAUAUGACUCCACGGCGCAUGUUGUGGGGUGGAAAGCCUUGUGUGGCUAGAGAUGGGCCCGCGGCCUAUCAGCUUGUUGGUGGGGNGAUGGCCUACCAAGGCGACGACGGGUAGCCGGCCUGAGAGGGCACACGGCCACACUGGCACUGAAACACGGGCCAGACUCCUACGGGAGGCAGCAGUGGGGAAUCUUGCACAAUGGGGGAAACCCUGAUGCAGCGACGCCGCGUGAGCGAU
rnacentral:rRNA from 1 species